rnacentral:tRNA from 1 species
AUUGAUUAAGAAGAUAUAUUCUUAUAAAUAGAUUUACAAUCUAU